CGGGACGUAGCCUAGCGGCUAAGGCGCCAGCUUUGGGAGCUGGAUACCGGGGGUUCGAAUCCCCCCGUCCCGACGA
rnacentral:tRNA from 1 species